GACAGAGGGUGCAAACGUUGUUCGGAAUUACUGGGCGUAAAGCGCGUGUAGGCGGCUAAGUAAGUCGGGCGUGAAAUCCCACGGCUCAACCGUGGAAUUGCACUCGAAACUGCGUAGCUAGAGUCCUGGAGAGGAAGGUGGAAUGCUUGGUGUAGAGGUGAAAUUCGUAGAUAUCAAGCGGAACACCGGUGGCGAAGGCGGCCUUCUGGACAGUGACUGACGCUGAGACGCGAAAGCGUGGGGAGCAAACAGG
rnacentral:rRNA from 1 species